GGCGAGAUAGCUCAGAUGGUUAGAGCGCGUGAUUCAUAAUCACGAGGUCCCGAGUUCAAUUCUCGGUCUCGCUA
rnacentral:tRNA from 2 species